rnacentral:tRNA from 1 species
CCUUGAUAGCUUAAAUAAGAGCAUAGCACUGAAGAUGCUAAGGUAACAACCAUGUUUCGGGGUG